rnacentral:lncRNA from 1 species
GGACUCUUCCUUCUCAGACAAUUGGAGACAUUUAUAGCUGUAAUUCCUAGCUUUACAUCAACACCAAUGGACCCUGUCAAGAGUUAGUCCCAUUAAUCCUUUUCUCUUGAUGUGAUUUCCAACUAGCUCCCCUGCUUCUGUUUAUUUAUUUUACUGACUACCAACUUUGCUUUCUCAUCAACCUUGGAAGUUAUUUAAAGAAGACCCUAAAUUAAUUUAAAGAACACUUGUGACCUUGCCUGCAUUUCACUACUCAUUGCUAGCUACUACCUACCAAAUCCCAUGUUAAUGUGGGCACCUGAUUCAGUAGCUGGUCAGAAGUAUCUUAGUGCACCUGCUCUAUUAAAAGAAUCUUCCUUCCCAAACAAAUGGAGAUACCUAUAGCCAUAAUUCCUAGCUUCACAUCAACCUCGGUGGCCCUGUCAAGAGUGGUCCCAUUAUUCCUUUUGUCAUUAGCUUUUUUGCUUCUGUUUUCUACAAAUUAACUACCACUCUUUGCUUUCUCAUCCUCCUUUAAAGUACUGUUAAAAGAAGACUCUAAAGUAACUUAACACUUGUGAUCUUGCCAUACAUUUCACUGGUCAUUGCUAGCUACUACCUAACAAGUUAUCUGCAUAAAUUAUUUGUAAUUCUUCAUAAGAGACUUCUGAUUGUGUCCAGUUUUAAAAUUAAUUUUGUUAUUAAUUUAUUUAUUUAUUUGGUACCAGGGAUUGAACUCAGGGGCACUUGACCACCAAGCCACAUCCCCAGCCCUAUUUUGUAUUUUACUUAGAGACAGGGUCUCACUGAGUUGCUUAUUGCCUCAACAUUGCUGAGGCUGGCUUUGAACUCACAAUCCCCCUGUCUCAGCCUCCCAAACCGCUGGAAUUACAGGUGUGUGCCAAUGCGCCUGGCUCAUUUUGUCAUUUAUUGAUGGUGGCAUGAACUCAUACAUAUUUUGUUUUUGCUUUGGGUCAUGAUUUAAUACUCCUUUAUUUUGUUGGUUGAAUUAUUCCUGCUUUGAAAAAAGCUAAUUAUUUCAAUGUUGACCACAAUAUUAGUUGAUUCCUGUGUCACCAUCUUCAUUUAUGUGUGUGAGGAUAUGUUUUGUGUUUUAAGCACUUUCUCAAUUUAUGGGACUCAAGAUAAUCUUUUUAAAAGUUUAAUCUCCUAUCUUAUCUCAGAUAUCUCCUGCCCCAACCCCAUAAACAGCCAUUUCUCUAAGGAUUCCUGGUUGUUUUAUUGGAGAGUAGUAUUAGAAACUAAGAUCUGGGCGCUAGACUUGCUUAUUGCUACUGGGGUGUUGUUGCUUCUAGGUUCUUUGCGUUGACAGGGCAAGGAGACAUAUGUAUAGAUACUAACCUAUGUACAUGCAUAUCUACAAGUAUUUCCAUAUACAAGCAUCUCUAUAUUAUAUUAAACUAUCAAUGAGUUCAUACUGAUGCCUUCAACAGGGGUCAUAUUAGCUUCCUUUCCUUGUUUAUCUGUAAUCCCCAUCCAACAGUAAGAACCAGGCUCCCACUGUUGGAAAUACUGAGGUGCCACAAGAAAUAAAACACAUGUUUGAAAGUCCAUGGGCCAGUCAAUCUUCUAUGUCUGACAGAAGGGCAUGCUAACAGACUGGGCUAGCCAAGCAUACUGGGUGGCAGACUGCCAGUUUAUAUAUCUAAUGUAGUGCUCCCUUCACCCUGAUUGGAGGACCCGGGUUCAAUUUAUGCAACUAAUUUUAAAAUUAGAGUGGGCAAAGGGAAGGGUUAUGGGGUUUUUUGUUUGUUUGUUUUGUUUUUCCUGGUACUGGGGAUUGAACCCAGGGGUACCUAACCACUAAGCUACAUUCCCAGCCCUUUUAAAAAAAAGUAUUUUUAUUUAGAGACACAGUCUCCCUGAAUUUCUUAGGGCCUACCUAACUUAGCUAGUUGCUAAGGCUGGCUUUGAACUUGCUGUCCUCCUGCCUCAGCUUCCCAAGCCACUGGGAUAAAUAAAUUAAGUUCUUAUUUGGCAUUGACUUAUCUGUGUCAUCACUCAUCACCUCCCUAAAUUAAAAUCCUGUAAGUACAAAUGAGAUAGUUGUGUGUUUGAGAAAUCUAUAAUAUGCUGGCA